rnacentral:rRNA from 1 species
UACAGAGGGUGCAAACGUUGCUCGGAAUUAUUGGGCGUAAAGCGCACGUAGGCGGUUCGUUAAGUCAGAUGUGAAAGCCCUGGGCUCAACCCAGGAAGUGCAUUUGAAACUGGCGAGCUUGAGUAUGGAAGAGGGUCGUGGAAUUCCCGGUGUAGAGGUGAAAUUCGUAGAUGAUCGGGAGGAACACCAGUGGCGAAGGGCGGAGACCUGGGCCAAUACUGGACGCUGGAGGUGCGAAAAGCGUGGGGAGCAAACAGGG